UACGAAGGGGGCUAGCGUUGCUCGGAAUUACUGGGCGUAAAGCGCACGUAGGCGGAUCGUUAAGUCGGGGGUGAAAUCCUGGAGCUCAACUCCAGAACUGCCUUCGAUACUGGCGAUCUCGAGUUCGGGAGAGGUGAGUGGAACUGCGAGUGUAGAGGUGAAAUUCGUAGAUAUUCGCAAGAACACCAGUGGCGAAGGCGGCUCACUGGCCCGAUACUGACGCUGAGGUGCGAGAGCGUGGGGAGCAAACAGG
rnacentral:rRNA from 1 species